rnacentral:rRNA from 1 species
CCCUGCCCUUUGUACACACCGCCCGUCGCUCCUACCGAUUGAAUGUUCCGGUGAACGCUUCAGAGCCAUGACUCGCUGUCUGGGGACUCUCAGACCUUGUCACUUGGCAAAGUUGUGUAAGCCUUAACAUUUAG